GUGGGCAUGGCGGAAUCGGCAGACGCACAGGACUUAAAAUCCUGAGAGAAAAAUCUCGUGAGGGUUCAAAUCCCUCUGCCCGCA
rnacentral:tRNA from 1 species